UGUUUGAAGAGUUGCAUGCUUGUCCC
rnacentral:piRNA from 1 species